CAGCUCUGGCCUCUAGAACAAUGAGAGCUCAUUUCUGUGGUUUGAAGCCACUCAGUCAGUGGGUCCUGUACCCGCCUCUGUGUUGACAACUCACCCCUCCCCUGAACCCUGCACGAGUCACUGACUGCAUCUUUUUGGUCUUAUUACUGUGAAGAAAACAUCUUUAUUUCUACCACAUUUAACCCUAAAUUAUUUAAAAGAACUUAACCAAAGCUAUGGCCAAAACAAAUGUGUCGUGUGUAUCAUUUUAUUCUUGGGUCUGGUUUUAUCAUUUUUGGAACUAUUACAAGGCUUCUGUUAAGCAUGUUGGAUGUUAAGAGGAAACAGACUCUUGGCAAAUGUGGAAAGCCAAUUACAGAAAACACCCUGCUAGAGGGAGAGAAACGAGGGACUGGGGAGAAAUUUGCCUCUCCCUUUCUCUACUGCCCAAAACAUGGAAGGGAACUGCACAGAAGAAAAAUACUACUGUUCAUCUUUGUCCUUACUGUUCUAUUCAUAGAAAAAAAGAAAAAGACAGUCAACUGAUUCUUUUCAGUUAAAUCUUAUAAUGUCUUAGGGGACAACACGGAAUUACUUUUCUUCUUUUCUUUUUGAAUUCCAAUUCAGACAUUUAUUUAUUCAUUUAUUAUUUAUUUGGUCUUUUUGAGACAGGGUCUUGCUAUGUAUGUAGUCCAGGCUGGCCUCGAACUCACUAUGUAGCCCAGGCUGGCCUCGAACUCAAGGUGAUCCUCCUUCUGUUUCUGGGUAGCCUGCUUCCAAAGGUGGCUCACCAAUUAAGCAUUAGCAGGUUCUGGGUUGCUCAUCUCUCCUUCUGGAGUUAGAUUCCAGGUUCUUCUCAUCUGGAGCAAAGAAUUGAACAAAAUGAGCAAAAAACAGUGACAAACUUUAUUCUAGAAAGUAAAAGUGAAGAGUAGGGGAGAAACUGGCUUGGCAGAGGGAGGUUGGCCUGAGUAAAAGGAAAAAAUCAAUAAAAGGACACCUGGAGAAAGCAGGGCAGCCUAUCGUGAGGAAAGCCAUGAUGGUGAGCUCUUCUUGGUAUCUGUGUCCUUUAUGCCAUCCACAUCUUGAGGAAGCCCAUGAGAACUGGAAUUACCUUAAGGUAAAUCUGAUACAGGAAGAAGUAAUAUUU
ensembl:lncRNA